ensembl:snoRNA
ACUGCCCACAAGUCAUGUAACCUGGCUGUUGCCCAGGACAGUGUUAGUGGAAGGCAGUGGGUACACUGGUUAUGCUUUGAGAAAUAGCCAGAGGCA